UACGUAGGGUGCAAGCGUUAAUCGGAAUUACUGGGCGUAAAGCGUACGCAGGCGGCUUUGCAAGACAGGUGUGAAAUCCCCGGGCCUAACCUGGGAACUGCAUUUGUGACUGCAUGGCUAGAGUCUGUCAGAGGGGGGUGGAAUUCCACGUGUGAGCAGUGAAAUGCGCAGAUAUGACGGAGGAACACCGAUGGCGAAGGCAAUCCCCUGGGCC
rnacentral:rRNA from 1 species